rnacentral:ncRNA from 1 species
AAAGGGGUGCUUGCCGGAAUGGUUCCCAAGAAACAGGAAGGCAGGCUGAGAUUAUACCCAUUGAACCUGGACGGAUAAUGCCGGCGAAGGGAAAAAAG